rfam:Triticum aestivum genome assembly, contig: Triticum_aestivum_CS42_TGACv1_scaffold_405673_5BL
UUGGUACUCCCUCCGUCCUGGAUUACUUGUCGCUCAAGUGGAUGUGUCUAAAACUAUUUUAGUGCUAGAUACAACCAUUUGAGCGACAAGUAAUUUGGGACGGAGGGAGUACUAA